UAUCGCAAAUUUUGUCGUUAUCGA
rnacentral:siRNA from 1 species